rnacentral:rRNA from 1 species
GAGAAACGCUGGCGGCGCACAUAAGACAUGCAAGUCGAACGGAAUUUAGUCGAAUGUUUACAUGAGACGAAAAUUUAGUGGCGGACGGGUGAGUAACACGUGAGCAACCUGCCUUUAGGAGGGGGAUAACAUUGAGAAAUCGGUGCUAAUACCGCAUAACGCAUAGAUGUCACAUGACGACUAUGCCAAAGGAGAAAUCCACCUAAAGAUGGGCUCGCGGCUGAUUAGCCAGUUGGUGGGGUAACGGCCUACCAAAGCGAUGAUCAGUAGCCGAGCUGAGAGGCACAACGGCCACAUUGGGACUGAGACACGGCCCAGACUCC